rnacentral:rRNA from 1 species
GGGGAGUAUGUUUGCAAGAAUGAAACUCAAAGGAAUUGAUGGGGGCCCGCACAAGCGGUGGAGCAUGUGGUUUAAAUUGAUGCAAAGCGAAGAACCUUACCAGGGCUUGACAUGUCGCGAAUCCUCUUGAAAGAGAGGGUUGCCCUCAGGAACACGGACACAGGUAGUGCAUGGCUGUCGUCACCUCGUGCCAUAAGGUGCUGGGUUAAGUCUCGCAAUGAGCGCAACCCUCGUGUUGAGGUGCCACUAUGAGUUUGGAACCCUGAACAGACCGCCGGUGUUAAGCCGGAGGAAGGAGAGGAUGAGGCCAUGUCAUCGUUCCCCUUAUGCCCUGGACGACACACGUGCUACAAUGGGCGGGACAAAGGGUUGCGAUCUCGUGAGGGUGAGCUAACUCCAAAAACUCGUCCUCAAUUCGGAUUGCAGGCUGGAACUCACCUGCAUGAAGCAGGAAUUGCUAGUAAUUGCCGGUCAGCGAUAUGGCGGUGAAAUCCGUUCCCGGGCCUUGUACACACCGCCCGUCACACUAUAGGUGCUAGCCAUGUUUGAAGUCGUUACCCUUAACCGUAAGGAGGGGAAUGCCUAAGGCUAGGCUUGCGACUGGAGUGAAGUUGUAACAAGGUAGCCAUACUGGAAGGUGCUGCUG